rnacentral:lncRNA from 1 species
GGGUCACGUGGGUAGGAAGGUAAGGAGAGGUGAUUAGGAUAAAGUUUGUUAGGGAGUGGUGGUUGAUUUGUUAUCAAAAGAAUAUUCUUAAAGUUUAUUGGUUAGAGGUUUGUUAUUAUUAUAUUUUUGUUUUUUGUAGUGGUAUAAUAACAUGGAUGAGGGUACACGGUAGGAUAAGGUAAAAUGGGUAAAAACGAUAUCGGGGAGGGACGAAAUUAGGUGUCU